UUGAUCGCUCGCGAAACCCUAACAUUUCAUUUCAGCCGCUCCAAAUUCUUUUUCACUUCUCUCUCCCGAUCAGAUCUGCCUCUCUCACUCAACCUCCUCUCCCCAAACCAAAUCCGUCGACUUCUUCUUUCAAUCUCUCUGUCACUGUCGUUCUCUCUCUCUCUCUCUCUCUCUCUCUCUCUCUCUCUCUCUCUCAGAGUCAAUCUCGCUCUCUCUCUCACGGUCACUCUCGCUCUCUCUCUCUCACGGUCACUCUCGCUCUCUCUCAGCCAUUCUCUCUCAGUUUUCCUCACUCGAUUUUUCUGUCAAUUUGAGCCGCAAAUUCUCAUGAACGAGUUAGGGCUUUAAGGGCCUGAUUUGUAGGUAUUCGUAUAAAUUUCUUCGUUUAUAUUUGUAUUACCCCAGAUCUGAAGGAAGACAGACUUCUUCUCUCACACUGGAUCUUGUGUUUUUAUGGAUCUUGGUCUUUUGUUAAGUGUCCUGGUCUGUUACUUGUAGCAGCUUUUGUUAUUGCUCAGCGGAGGUGCUAAUUUGAUUUGAGGAGUAUGAAACUCAUGGAAUUUGAUUUCUAUAUGUAAUGCAAAUUUACUUGUUUUGAUUUGGAUUUUCUUUUUUAACUUUGCAAAUUGUGAUUGAGAUUACUCUCACAAUCUGCUAUGGUCUGUAAUAAUGAUUUCUGUGAUUGAGAUUACAGAAACCCUAAAACUUUAAAGAGCCUGGAAAUCUAACCCAAAAAAAGAAGAAAAAGGAAUGGUCCUGGAAUA